UGCCUGAAGAGUACCUGUUGCUUGUUGAUGGCCAUGUUGUGGCAGCAGCAAAGAUGUUCAAGCAAGCAUUCUGCAUGCUGUUUGCAGCUUACUUCUGCUUCCACAUUUGUUAUGCAGAGAAGGCGUCAUGCACACUUGAAUUCACACAAAGGGCAUUUUCGGCAUAAACCCAGACCGUGGACGGAAGGGCAACAAGGAAAUCUGGCGGUCAGCAAGAAAGUUCUUGCCUUGGUGCAGCGCAUUACGGAGUGUGAAUGGAAUGUCUAGCAUGAACUAGUUGACCACACGCAGGGAUACUUUUUCGUCUGCCAAGCAGCCCAGAACCUUGCAAUGCGAACUACAGAAAUGGUUCCCUUUCACCAAGUCAUCUACACAAGAAAUUAUUUUAAAGCUACGUGAAGUGCAAUAAAGUGUUUUGAAAUA